GCAAGGUCCCUUACUUCCAGUGAAGGGAAAUCUAAAUGUUUCAGCAUACCAAGACAUUUUCAACAAUGCUAUGCUUCCAACAUUGUGGGAACAGUUUGAGGAAGGCCCUCUUCUAUUCCAGCAUGACUGUGGCCCAGAGCAAAAAGCAAGUUCCAUAAAGACAUGAUUGGUGAUAGUGUGGAAAAACUUGACUGGCCCGCACAUAGCAUUCACCUCAACCCAAUCGAACACCUUUGAGAUGAACUGGAACUGUGAGGCAGGCCUUCUCAUCCAACAUCAGUGCCAGACCUCACAAAUGCUCUACUGGACAAAUGGGCAAAUCCUUCCACAGAAACACUCCAAAAUCUUGUCGAAACAGCUGCAAAGGGGGGAUCAACUACAUAUGAAUGUCUAUGUAUUUAGAAUGCAAUGUCAUAAAAGUUCCUGUUGGUGUAAUGAUCAGGUGUCUAAAUACGUUUGUCCGUAUAGUGUG